UCCGGUUUGGCACCGGCAGUCUCGCAUGAGUCCCCGGCCGAACCGCUGGCAACAUGCGACGAGGGUUGCGCUCGUUGCGGGACUUAACCCAACAUCUCACGACACGAGCUGACGACAGCCAUGCACCACCUGUGAAGGUGCCCCGAAGGGAAGGUGUGUUUCCACACCGGUCACCCACAUGUCAAGCCCAGGUAAGGUUCUUCGCGUUGCGUCGAAUUAAACAACAUACUCCACCGCUUGUGCGGGUCCCCGUCAAUUCCUUUGAGUUUUAACCUUGCGGCCGUACUCCCCAGGCGGCUCACUUCACGCGUUAGCUACGGUACCAAGGAAUCGCUUCCCCAACACCUAGUGAGCAUCGUUUAGGGCGUGGACUAC
rnacentral:misc_RNA from 1 species